rnacentral:rRNA from 1 species
GACGAACGCUGGCGGCGUGCUUAACACAUGCAAGUCGAACGGAAAGGCCCUGCUUUUGUGGGGUGCUCGAGUGGCGAACGGGUGAGUAACACGUGAGUAACCUGCCCUUGACUUUGGGAUAACUUCAGGAAACUGGGGCUAAUACCGGAUAGGAGCUCCUGCUGCAUGGUGGGGGUUGGAAAGUUUCGGCGGUUGGGGAUGGACUCGCGGCUUAUCAGCUUGUUGGUGGGGUAGUGGCUUACCAAGGCUUUGACGGGUAGCCGGCCUGAGAGGGUGACCGGCCACAUUGGGACUGAGAUACGGCCCAGACUCCUACGGGAGGCAGCAGUGGGGAAUAUUGCACAAUGGGCGGAAGCCUGAUGCAGCAACGCCGCGUGCGGGAUGACGGCCUUCGGGUUGUAAACCGCUUUCGCCUGUGACGAAGCGUGAGUGACGGUAAUGGGUAAAGAAGCACCGGCUAACUACGUGCCAGCAGCCGCGGUGAUACGUAGGGUGCGAGCGUUGUCCGGAUUUAUUGGGCGUAAAGGGCUCGUAGGUGGUUGAUCGCGUCGGAAGUGUAAUCUUGGGGCUUAACCCUGAGCGUGCUUUCGAUACGGGUUGACUUGAGGAAGGUAGGGGAGAAUGGAAUUCCUGGUGGAGCGGUGGAAUGCGCAGAUAUCAGGAGGAACACCAGUGGCGAAGGCGGUUCUCUGGGCCUUUCCUGACGCUGAGGAGCGAAAGCGUGGGGAGCGAACAGGCUUAGAUACCCUGGUAGUCCACGCUGUAAACGGUGGGUACUAGGUGUGGGGUCCAUUCCACGGGUUCCGUGCCGUAGCUAACGCUUUAAGUACCCCGCCUGGGGAGUACGGCCGCAAGGCUAAAACUCAAAGGAAUUGACGGGGCCCCGCACAAGCGGCGGAGCAUGCGGAUUAAUUCGAUGCAACGCGUAGAACCUUACCUGGGUUUGACAUGGAUCGGGAGCGCUCAGAGAUGGGUGUGCCUCUUUUGGGGUCGGUUCACAGGUGGUGCAUGGCUGUCGUCAGCACGUGUCGUGAGAUGUUGGGUUAAGUCCCGCAACGAGCGCAACCCUUGUUCACUGUUGCCAGCACGUUAUGGUGGGGACUCAGUGGAGACCGCCGGGGUCAACUCGGAGGAAGGUGGGGAUGACGUCAAGCCAUCAUGCCCCUUAUGUCCAGGGCUUCACGCAUGCUACAAUGGCUGGUACAGAGAGUGGCGAGCCUGUGAGGGUGAGCGAAUCUCGGAAAGCCGGUCUCAGUUCGGAUUGGGGUCUGCAACUCGACCUCAUGAAGUCGGAGUCGCUAGUAAUCGCAGAUCAGCAACGCUGCGGUGAAUACGUUCCCGGG